rnacentral:rRNA from 2 species
ACGGAGAAGGCUAUGUUGGCCGGGCGACGGUUGUCCCGGUUUAAGCGUGUAGGUGUGUGUUCCAGGUAAAUCCGGUUCACUUUAACACUGAGGCGUGAUGACGAGGCACUACGGUGCUGAAGCAACAAAUGCCCUGCUUCCAGGAAAAGCCUCUAAGCAUCAGGUAACAUCAAAUCGUACCCCAAACCGACACAGGUGGUCAGGUAGAGAAUACCAAGGCGCUUGAGAGAACUCGGGUGAAGGAACUAGGCAAAAUGGUGCCGUAACUUCGGGAGAAGGCACGCUGACAC